rnacentral:rRNA from 1 species
CGGUAAUACGGAGGGUGCAAGCGUUACUCGGAAUCACUGGGCGUAAAGGACGCGUAGGCGGUUUAGAAAGUCAGAUGUGAAAGCCUAUGGCUUAACCAUAGAACAGCAUUUGAAACUUCUUGACUAGAAUGAGGGAGAGGUCAGUGGAAUUAGUGGUGUAGGGGUAAAAUCCGUAGAGAUCACUAGGAAUACUCAUUGCGAAGGCGACUGACUGGAACUUAAUUGACGCUGAGGCGUGAAAGCGUGGGGAGCAAACAGGAUUAGAUACCCUGGUAGUCCACGCCCUAAACGAUGUACACUAGUUGUUGGGAUGCAAGUCAUCUCAGUGAUGCAGUUAACACAUUAAGUGUACCGCCUGGGGAGUACGGUCGCAAGAUUAAAACUCAAAGGAAUAGACGGGGACCCGCACAAGUGGUGGAGCAUGUGGUUUAAUUCGAAGAUACGCGAAGAACCUUACCUGGGCUUGACAUCCUUGGAAUCUCUGAGAGAUCAGAGAGUGCUAGUUUACUAGAGCCAAGUGACAGGUGCUGCACGGCUGUCGUCAGCUCGUGUCGUGAGAUGUUGGGUUAAGUCCCGCAACGAGCGCAACCCUCGUCCUUAGUUGCUAACAGUUUAGCUGAGCACUCUAAGGAGACUGCCUUCGUAAGGAGGAGGAAGGUGAGGACGACGUCAAGUCAUCAUGGCCCUUAUGCCCAGGGCGACACACGUGCUACAAUGGGGGAGGACAAUGAGAGGCGAUACCGCGAGGUGGAGCAAAUCUAUAAACCUCUUCUCAGUUCGGAUAGCACUCUGCAACUCGAGUGCUUGAAGCUGGAAUCACUAGUAAUCGUAGAUCAGCCAUGCUACGGUGAAUACGUUCCCGGG